rnacentral:rRNA from 1 species
UGGUUUGUCGCGUUGUUCGUGAAAUCUCACAACUCAAUUGUGAGCGUGCGGGCGAUACGGGCAGACUGGAGUACUGCAGGGGAGACUGGAAUUCCUGGUGUAGCGGUGGAAUGCGCAGAUAUCAGGAGGAACACCGGUGGCGAAGGCGGGUCUCUGGGCAGUAACUGACGCUGAGGAGCGAAAGCGUGGGGAGCGAACAGGAUUAGAUACCCUGGUAGUUCCACGCCGUAAACGGUGGGUACUAGGUGUGGGUUUCCUUCCUUGGGAUCCGUGCCGUAGCUAACGCAUUAAGUACCCCGCCUGGGGAGUACGGCUGCAAGGCUAAAACUCAAAGAAAUUGACGGGGGCCCGCACAAGCGGCGGAGCAUGUGGAUUAAUUCGAUGCAACGCGAAGAACCUUACCUGGGUUUGACAUGCACAGGACGUGCCUAGAGAUAGGUAUUCCCUUGUGGCCUGUGUGCAGGUGGUGCAUGGCUGUCGUCAGCUCGUGUCGUGAGAUGUUGGGUUAAGUCCCGCAACGAGCGCAACCCUUGUCUCAUGUUGCCAGCGGGUAAUGCCGGGGACUCGUGAGAGACUGCCGGGGUCAACUCGGAGGAAGGUGGGGAUGACGUCAAGUCAUCAUGCCCCUUAUGUCCAGGGCUUCACACAUGCUACAAUGGCCGGUACAAAGGGCUGCGAAGCCGUGAGGUGGAGCGAAUCCUUUAAAGCCGGUCUCAGUUCGGAUCGGGGUCUGCAACUCGACCCCGUGAAGUUGGAGUCGCUAGUAAUCGCAGAUC